UGGGCAUCCACCUUUGCUGAACCCAGAAA
rnacentral:piRNA from 1 species